UGUGACGGCUAGUCCUAUAGUUCUGGAGAUAUUACCAGCUUUAUUGAGAUAUUAUAGUCCCAUUGGAACUAUGGAACUCCACAAUAAACAUACAGACUUGGAAGUGUCUCCUAUUGAUUCUCGUGGCUCUUGCUGCCAACCCAAAUGUACUUUGGAUCGAAGCCUUAAUGAUUCAAGUGCUACCUGUGUCUGCACUAAUGAUACCUUUCCACUGCCCAGGCCUCAGAUGCGGCGGCAACUAAGACAGGAUUGCCUUGUGGUCGUCUGCUAAUAAGGAAAGGAAAUGCGAGUAAUGUGGAAUCCUGCUCCCAUAAAAUAUUCUGCCCAGUUUUAUAAAUCCAGGAAGUUUGGCUACUUCAAGUAAGUUUUGGAGAAGCACCAGUCAGGCUUUGAAUGCCCAAAGUGAACCCAGAGUCCAGACUGUGGUGUGUGCAACUUGUUAUAACUUGCUUUCUGUCACUUCCUGCACUUUGACAUUCCCCCACCCCAAGCUUUGAAAUCCAUUUCUGACUCUGCCACAAGGAAGGAAGUAAAGCCAUUUAUUGCUUCUCUGCAGCUAUUUCUACUGAACAAAUAAGGUUGCCACCCGGUUGGUGUUUUCUCUCUCUCUCUUUUAAUUAAGCAUGGUCUUUUCUGGGUUGGAGCCUUUUAUUCUUUAUCUCCGCUGCCAUUUAUUUAGGUCCUUGCUCCAUUCCUGUUUCAACCCCUGUGGGUUCAAUAUAUUCCUACCUCUUAUUAUGUAUUACAUUUCAUUCCUAUCCUGCUCCAUGGCAGAGAUUCUGAGCAAUAUGCAAAAUGUUUUACAAUAUUACAUGUUAUUAAAAAAUAACUAAAGACUGGGACUUUCCUAUUCACAGUGUUCUUUUUGGGAGGGUGUGCCAUCUCUUCCACAGGGCUGACUCAAGAUAUCUCACUGCCUGAAGUGAAGCUGCCUUCAUCCCCAUUUCACAUAUUGAAUGAGAGUUGCAUACCCCUCAAUUGUCCCAAUUUGAGUGGGGCAUCCUGGAAUCACAGAAGCUAUCCCAGCUUCUCAUUGGAUCCUGGAAAGCCGUGGUUUUCUCAUCUGCUUGCUCAUCCCAAGCACCAGACCAAAAGACACUCAUUUCUUCGUUUUAUGCUCUCAUGCAGCCCUCAUGCUAGCUCCCGCAAGAGCUUGGGACCAAAAAACGAGCAACCCAAUUUUGAUCACUGGAAUGUUGGAGGGUAUUUGUUACUUCGACACUGAUGACUGGUGGGGAACAUCUGCUACACCUGAGGGUAGCAGGUUAGUUUAGGGGGCACAGGUGCGCGACACACACAAUUCUGCCCUCCAACAGAGGUGGAAUGAUCAGGAAGCUGUUGCCACUCCCCCCACCUAGCUUCCACUCCCUCACCAGCUACCUCACUCUGCCAGAUGGUAGGGCCAGUCCUUCCCCAGAUGUAUUUUUCAUCUGGCUAGUGGCUGUUACUAUUGCAUUUGCUUUUGCUCCUGCAACCAAAGAGUAGAGGCCAAUGCUGCAGAGGAGAAUCAAGGUCCCAGUUGCUAUUUGUCCUUUGGACAAUGGCUGGGCCAAGCUGACCUCCCCUCACUAAUGAUAUCCACCCACCCCCAUGACUCUGUAAAGUAGGCUAGGGGCAACAGGAGGAAGAUAUUUGCCUAGAGCUCUGCAGUAAGCAUAAUAAGUUGGCUGAGCUUUCAACCUGAGUUGCAUAGAAUAGGCUUACAUGAGUACAUUAUUCUGCAAUAACAAUCCCUGAACAAACUUCAUUGCAUAUUAUAUUCAAGGAAAGAACAAGGAGUUAAGAGUGAGUCAGCAACCCUGGCAAAAUUAGGGUGAUUAAUUCUAUAAGCAACAGAAAAGUUGGCACUCAGGAGAGUUUAAGCUCCAGAGAGGAGUACAGCAACCUACGUGUAACUGCCAUAUGUGUCUUCUGUAUACAUAGAAAUGAAAGGGAGUUUUUGGAGCUAGCUAACAGAAGUGGUUUAGGGCUUCAGGCGAACUGCUGUGGCUUUAGCACUGAUGCUUCUUUGGAGCUAGACCUACCUGCAUGUAUGCCUGCCUACUUUCUAAGGAUGGCUGAGUACGUCAAUUUUGGUUUCUCUCUGGUUUCUCAUUUUCCCAUUAUUAAGUUUAGUUUGUGACGUUUCUAUAUCAGUGAGCAUUUUUAAAAUAAGCCUUCAAGAAAAUUUGUCAGCAAAUUUCUCCUAAAAUUGCACAUGUUUAUAUUGCAAUUUUUUAUAAUAUGCAUAUUUUCCCAAUAGGAUGCAUUUUAAAUGUUAUUUUCAACAAUAUAUGCAUUUUUAUAAACACUUUAGUAUAUGUAGUUUUGUACACAUUAACCUCCGCUGCCUUGUGGGAUAGCUUUGAGAGAAGAAAAGGCUAAGAAGUAAACCCUACACAAAUUCAGAGUGGCGUCCCCAAGAUGGUUGGGGCAACUCCUGCAACCAAGCUGGUGCCAAAUGUAUUGUUCUGCUUUUCUUUAGACUACAUCAGUAAGGCGGAGAGGCGAGUCUGCCAUCUGGGCAGCCCAGGAUCACCAUACACACUGCCCAGGCUUUCACUCCAGGGAAGUCACUUUGGUGUUGCUGAUGUAGUACUUUGACUUCAC